CACAUGCAAGUCGAGGGGCAGCAUAAUGGAUAGCAAUAUCUAUGGUGGCGACCGGCGCACGGGUGCGUAACGCGUAUGCAACCUACCUUUAACAGGGGGAUAACACUGAGAAAUUGGUACUAAUACCCCAUAAUAUCAUAGAAGGCAUCUUUUAUGGUUGAAAAUUCCGAUGGUUAGAGAUGGGCAUGCGUUGUAUUAGCUAGUUGGUGGGGUAACGGCUCACCAAGGCGACGAUACAUAGGGGGACUGAGAGGUUAACCCCCCACACUGGUACUGAGACACGGACCAGACUCCUACGGGAGGCAGCAGUGAGGAAUAUUGGUCAAUGGACGCAAGUCUGAACCAGCCAUGCCGCGUGCAGGAUGACGGCUCUAUGAGUUGUAAACUGCUUUUGUACGAGGGUAAACUCACCUACGUGUAGGUGACUGAAAGUAUCGUACGAAUAAGGAUCGGCUAACUCCGUGCCAGCAGCCGCGGUAAUACGGAGGAUUCAAGCGUUAUCCGGAUUUAUUGGGUUUAAAGGGUGCGUAGGCGGUUUGAUAAGUUAGAGGUGAAAUCCCGGGGCUUAACUCCGGAACUGCCUCUAAUACUGUUAGACUAGAGAGUAGUUGCGGUAGGCGGAAUGUAUGGUGUAGCGGUGAAAUGCUUAGAGAUCAUACAGAACACCGAUUGCGAAGGCAGCUUACCAAACUAUAUCUGACGUUGAGGCACGAAAGCGUGGGGAGCAAACAGGAUUAGAUACCCUGGUAGUCCACGCAGUAAACGAUGAUAACUCGUUGUCGGCGAUACACAGUCGGUGACUAAGCGAA
rnacentral:rRNA from 1 species